rnacentral:rRNA from 1 species
AGUGAACGCUGGCGGUAGGCCUAACACAUGCAAGUCGAACGGCAGCACAGUAAGAGCUUGCUCCUACGGUUGGCGAGUGGCGGACGGGUGAGGAAUACAUCGGCAUCUACUUUUUCGGGGGGGAUAACGGAGGGAAACUUAUGCUAAUACCUCAUACGACCUACGGCUGAAAGCAGGGGAUCUUCGGACCUUGCGCGAUUGAAUGAGCCGAUGCCGGAUUGGCUAGUUGGCUGGGUAAAGGCCCACCAAGGCGACGAUCCGUAGCAGGCCUGAGAGGAUGAUCGGCCACACUGGAACUGAGACACGGUCCAGACUCCUACGGGAGGCAGCAGUAGGGAAUCUUGGACAAUGGGCGAAAGCCUGAUGCAGCAAUGCCGCGUGAGUGAAGAAGGUCUUCGGAUUGUAAAGCUCUUUUAUUGGGAAAGAAAAGAAGCAGAUUAAUCCGCGGAUGUUUUGACGGUACCCAAAGAAUAAGCAACGGCUAACUUCGUG